rnacentral:rRNA from 1 species
UGGGGAAUUUUGGACAAUGGGCGCAAGCCUGAUCCAGCCAUGCCGCGUGCAGGAUGAAGGCCCUCGGGUUGUAAACUGCUUUUGUACGGAACGAAAAGCCUCUUUCUAAUAAAGAGGGGUGAUGACGGUACCGUAAGAAUAAGCACCGGCUAACUACGUGCCAGCAGCCGCGGUAAUACGUAGGGGGCAAGCGUUGUCCGGAUUUACUGGGUGUAAAGGGUGCUCAGGCGGAUUUGUAAGUCAGAGGUGAAAUCUUACAGCUUAACUGUGAAACUGCCUUUGAUACUGCAAGCCUAGAGUAUGGAAGAGAGUGAUGGAAUAUCUGGUGUAGCAGUGAAAUGCGUAGAUAUCAGAUAGAACACCAAUGGCGAAGGCAGUCACUUGGUCCAUUACUGACGCUAAAGCACGAAAGCGUGGGUAGCAAAC